AGAAUGCACUGCUGACACGUGUGCGCGCGCGCGGCUCCACUGCCGGGCGACCGCGGGAAAAUUCCAAAAAAACUCAAAAAGCCAAUACGAGGCAAAGCCAAAUUUUCAAGCCACAGAUCCCGGGCGGUGGCUUCCUUUCCGCCACUGCCCAAACUGCUGAAGCAGCUCCCGCGAGGACCACCCGAUUUAAUGUGUGCCGACCAUUUCCUUCAGUGCUGGACAGGCUGCUGUGAAGGGACAUCACCUUUUCGCUUUUUCCAAGAUGGCUCAAGAUUCAGUAGAUCUUUCUUGUGAUUAUCAGUUUUGGAUGCAGAAGCUUUCUGUAUGGGAUCAGGCUUCCACUUUGGAAACCCAGCAAGACACCUGUCUUCACGUGGCUCAGUUCCAGGAGUUCCUAAGGAAGAUGUAUGAAGCCUUGAAAGAGAUGGAUUCUAAUACAGUCAUUGAAAGAUUCCCCACAAUUGGUCAACUGUUGGCAAAAGCUUGUUGGAAUCCUUUUAUUUUAGCAUAUGAUGAAAGCCAAAAAAUUCUAAUAUGGUGCUUAUGUUGUCUAAUUAACAAAGAACCACAGAAUUCUGGACAAUCAAAACUUAACUCCUGGAUACAGUAACUCCUGGACUGUUUCUGUAGCAGCCACACAAGUCUCCUUUAUAUUGCCAAUAUCUAUCUUUAUCCCAAAGACAAGAUGAAUGUUCAAAAACGGGUGUAUUAUCUCAUAUACUUUCAGCACUCAGAUUUGAUAAAGAAGUUGCUCUUUUCACUCAAGGUCUUGGGUAUGCACCUAUAGAUUACUAUCCUGGUUUGCUUAAAAAUAUGGUUUUAUCAUUAGCGUCUGAACUCA
rnacentral:lncRNA from 1 species